rnacentral:rRNA from 1 species
AAUCAACGCUGGCGGCGUGCCUCAGACAUGCAAGUCGAACGAUUAAGACUUCCUUCGGGAAGUGCAUAAAGUGGCGCACGGGUGAGUAACACGUAAGUAAUCUACCCUCGAGUGGGGAAUAACGUUCGGAAACGGACGCUAAUACCGCAUAACGCAGCGGCACCGCAAGGUGACAGUUGUUAAAGGAGUAAUUCGCUUGAGGAGGAGCUUGCGGCAGAUUAGCUUGUUGGUAAGGAACGGCUUACCAAGGCUACGAUCUGUAUCCGGUCUAAGAGGACGGUCGGACACACUGACACUGAAUAACGGGUCAGACUCCUACGGGAGGCAGCAGUCGGGAAUUUUGGGCAAUGGGCGAAAGCCUGACCCAGCAACG